rnacentral:rRNA from 1 species
UAUUAUACUGAUAAAUAUUUUAUAAAUCUUAAUUAUUAAUAGAUAUAUUCUUUAAAUUUGAAGAAUUUGGCGGUAAUUUAGUCUUGUUAGAGGAACCUGUUUUUGAAUCGAUAAUCCACGUAAAAUCUUACUUAUCAUUAAUGAAAGUUUAUAUACCAUCAUUGUCAGAUAAUUUUUAGAAAAUUAAUUAUUAAAGUUUAAAUUGAGUUAAUUUAAAUUAGAUCAAGGUGUAGCCUAUAGAUAAGUUAAAAUGGGUUACAAUAAAAUUUAUUUAGAACGGAAUAAGUAUAAGAAAUUAGCUUAUAGAAGGAGGAUUUAAUUGUAAUGAAAGUUUAAUAAGCUAAAAAGAUAUAAGCUCUAGAUUAU